rnacentral:lncRNA from 1 species
GCCGCUUGAGCUCUCAACACGUACUGGUGGUAGAUUGCAGCAAUAGUAGCACCAAUGAAAGGUCCCACCCAGAAGAUCCACUAAACCAAAAAUCCCAUGCAAAAUUCAACAAUUAAUUCAUGAAAAAUCAUAUUCUCACACCCAAGAAAAACAGAGGAAAGAUAGAAACAGAGUGAGGAAGAUAGAUAGAUAGUAACCUGGUCAUCCCAUGCCUUCUCGUUGUUGUAUAUGACAGCAGCUCCGAAGCUUCUAGCAGGGUUGAUUCCGGUUCCAGUGAUGGGGAUGGUGGCCAAGUGAACCAUGAACACUGCAAACCCAAUUGGAAGAGGUGCCAAAACCUGUAAAAGAAAAAAGAAAAAACAGAGUUACACAAGGAAAAAAAAAAUAGAGGAUGAGAAAUGAAGCACUAGAUUUUGCUUACAGGAACAUGGGAAUCUCUGGCGUUUCUCUUGGGAUCGGUGGCGGAGAAGACGGUGUAGACAAGGACAAAGGUGCCGAUAAUCUCAGCGCCCAAACCAGUUCCCUUGGAGUAGCCAUCAGCAAGCAUGUUUGCACCGCCAUGGUACCUGUUGUAGUAGCUUUUCUGAAAAGCCUUCACCAACCCAACACCGCUUAUGGCUCCCAAACACUGAGCCACCAUGUAGAACAAAGCUCUGACCAGUGAAACCUUCCUCGCCAGGAACAAACCGAACGUCACCGCCGGGUUUAUGUGACCCCCUG